UACGUAGGGUGCAAGCGUUGUUCGGAAUCAUUGGGCGUAAAGCGCGUGUAGGUGGUUAAUUAAGUCGAUUGUGGAAGCCCUCGGCUCAACCGAGGAAGUGCAGUCGAAACUGACUAGCUAGAGGACGGCAGAGGAAGGUGGAAUUCCAAGUGUAGAGGUGAAAUUCGUAGAUAUUUGGAGGAAUACCUGUGGCGAAGGCGGCCUUCUGGACCGGUCCUGACACUGAGACGCGAAAGCGUGGGGAGCAAACAGG
rnacentral:rRNA from 1 species